CAUAGAGGCUAAGCUCCUCCCCAAGACCAACCAACUGCUAACUGAAAUGAAUCAGCUUUCACUGAACCCCCAUACAUCUUUUAAUGGCAGGUCUCAGCCAAACAUAUUAUAAUUUAAUAAACCACUGUUUAAAAAUAAUAUACAUCAUAAACUGCCACUUUGUACCAAUUCUACCUGAAAAUGGAAGAAUCACCCAUGCUCUAGGUCCACAUGGUACAAUCCGUGAUUAGCCCUCAGGUGUGUGACCACUGACAGGCCCAUCUUCAGCUCUGGUCCAGACCAGAGAACCUCUCUACCUGCUCAAACACUGGAGGGAAACAACUCAGAGAGGGAAUAAAGGCUGACAGGACAGACUUCACCUGCACCACCUCACAGCAGACACACAGAUCUCUCAGCCACGGUUGGAGGGAAUUUCCUUGGACACUGACUUCAUUCCGGCUGGAGAGAUGACGACUAAGGCUUUGCAACUCUACCAGUCCUGGGUGAAGAGUUUCUGUGACACUGAACAGAGUGCUGACUCUCUCAACAAUGUGAAUGAAACCAUAUUACAGCACCUUUUAUCACCUGAAGAACAUCCAAUUCCUAAAAUGAAACAGUUUUCUUGGGUGUCUACAGUGAUUGACAUCAUUCGCAAAUAUGCUUCAUUCAUUGAAAAAUUUCCCAACUUUUUAAAAAAGAUGACAAAGAUUGUAGAAGAGUCUAAGAGCACUGCUGAUUCAGUUCAAAAGAUCUUGGAGUCCAAAAGCACCGAUUCAAAAGCAGAGGCUGUAUUCGGAGGAAUAGGAAUAUUAGCCGGGCUCAUUGGAGCGCCGUUCACUGGGGGGAGCAGCUUAGGUUUAACAGCAGGUGGAGUUGGUUUACUCUUAAAAGCUGGUCAUGUGUCUGCAUCCACAAGAUGGAUGGACACAUUUGGCAAACAAACUGCAGAGAAAUUAAUGCAACUUGGGAAAGAAGUCUUGCAGAUUGUUGAGCCCAUGAAGAAUCUCCUGGAUGAGAUUCUAGUGCAGGCUGGAAAUAUUCAGACAGGCAGAACUCCUGAACUGGUGGAACUGAUUGAGGCAGCUUUGUCUGCAGUUGCAGAACAGAUCAAAGCAAUAACUAACAUUGUCAAGUUUACUGAGGGAGUUGUUGGUGGCACUGAGGCCUCAGAUGUAGGCCAAGCGUUAAUAAACCGCAUCAAAGAGGCACCCGACCAUUUCCAGAAGGUCCUUAAGGAGUUUGAAAACAUAAACACGAAACUUAGUACUAUUGUGUGAAAACUGUACGAUGCUGCAGUGUGUAAAAAAAAAAAAAAAAAAAAAAGGCCUUCUUGCAAUAACUUCUUCCUAAAAUUGCAGUUUGAGACCAAGUUUAGAAUUCAGGGCACAAAUGAUCCUCUGAUGAGGACUUUGGAAAUACGAUAUUUAAUCUGUAUCGGAAAACUUUUCUUUUCCGUGCCUGGUUAUGAUUUUGUCAAACAAUAACUGUAUGAACAAUAUUUUUUUCAUGAAAUGUUUGUCACGAAUACUGAUUGAUUUCUUCAGUUUAAUCUUUUUUUGAUGAUUGAUAAAUGCUUUAAUUAAUUUUUCUGUUUAAUUUUGCAUGUAUUGUAGAAAUAUUGGUUCUACUAUUCUGUUGAUUUCUUUAACCAAAACAAUUCUUUAUUCUUUAUAAUUUCAUUACAUGUUUUAAAAUGAAUCUUUGAUAUGUUUGGAUGUAUAUUUUCUGUUUCGGUAACUUGUCUGCGUUAAUAAAUGUGACAAUGUAUAAGGACAUUUGUGUCAAUACAUACUUUCAAUAUAAAGUGUAUCAACAAUACCAACAAUACCUCGGUUAAGCCAUGGUCACCUAACACACACAUAUAUA